rnacentral:rRNA from 1 species
UCCACCUUCUGCUCUGAACACACUUGAUCUUGUUUAAUUUUGAAAGCUAAGCAGGGUUUGGCCUGGGUAAUAGUUGGAAGAGAGAGACCCAAGAUUUCCAGGUUGGAC